CUAAGAAUAUUCCGCAAUGGACGAAAGUCUGAUCUAGCAACACCGCGUGUGCGAUGAAGGCCUUCGGGUCGUAAAGCACUUUUUGGAAGGAAUAGGAAGGAAUGUACUUCCAGAAUAAGUCUCGGCUAACUACGUGCCAGCAGCCGCGGUAACACGUAGGAGGCAAACGUUAUCCGGAUUUACUGGGCGUAAAGCGCGUGUAGGUGGUACUGUAAGUAGGGCGUGAAAGCUCCUGGCUCAACUGGGAGAGGCCGUUCUAAACUACAGAACUAGAGGAUGGUAGAGGGAGGUGGAAUUCCAGGUGUAGCGGUGGAAUGCGCAGAUAUCUGGAGGAACACCGGUGGCGAAGGCGGCCUCCUGGACCAUUCCUGACACUCAGACGCGAAAGCUAGGGUAGCAAACGGG
rnacentral:rRNA from 2 species